rnacentral:rRNA from 1 species
UACGUAGGGUGCGAGCGUUAAUCGGAAUUACUGGGCGUAAAGCGUGCGCAGGCGGUGAUGUAAGACAGUUGUGAAAUCCCCGGGCUUAACCUGGGAAUGGCAUUGGUGACUGCACGGCUAGAGUGUGUCAGAGGGGGGUAGAAUUCCACGUGUAGCAGUGAAAUGCGUAGAGAUGUGGAGGAACACCGAUGGCGAAGGCAGCCCCCUGGGUUAACACUGACGCUCAGGCACGAAAGCGUGGGGAGCAAACAGG